GUCUAUAUAGCUUAAUUUUUAAAGCUUAAUAUUGAAGAUAUUAUGAUAGGAUUAUAUCCUUUUAGACA
rnacentral:tRNA from 1 species